rnacentral:rRNA from 1 species
AGUGAACGCUGGCGGUAGGCCUAACACAUGCAAGUCGAACGGCAGCACAGUAAGAGCUUGCUCUUACGGGUGGCGAGUGGCGGACGGGUGAGGAAUACAUCGGAAUCUACUUUUUCGUGGGGGAUAACGUAGGGAAACUUACGCUAAUACCGCAUACGACCUACGGGUGAAAGCAGGGGAUCUUCGGACCUUGGGCGAUUGAAUGAGCCGAUGUCGGAUUAGCUAGUUGGCGGGGUAAAGGCCCACCAAGGCGACGAUCCGUAGCUGGUCUGAGAGGAGGAUCAGCGAGAGUGGGACUGAGACACGGCCCAGACUGAGAGGGGAGGCAGCGGUGGGGAAUAUUGGACAAGGGGAGAAAGUCCGAUAAAGCAAUGCAGGGGGCGUGGUGAAGGCCUUAGGGUUGUAAAGCUCUUUUACCAGGGAUGAUAAUGACAGUACCGGGAAAAUAAGCUCGGGCUAACUACGUG